UGGGGGAUAUUGCACAAUGGGCGAAAGCCUGAUGCAGCGACGCCGCGUGGGGGAUGAAGGCCUUCGGGUUGUAAACUUCUUUUGCUCUGAACAAGGCGCACCAUGGGGUGUGUUGAGUGUAGGGGUUGAUUAGCGCCGGCUAACUACGUGCCAGCAGCCGCGGUAAUACGUAGGGCGCGAGCGUUGUCCGGAAUUAUUGGGCGUAAAGGGCUUGUAGGUGGCUGGUUGCGUCUGUCGUGAAAGCUCAUGGCUUAACGGUGGGUUUGCGGUGGGUACGGGCUGGCUUGAGUGCAGUAGGGGAGGCUGGAAUUCCUGGUGUAGCGGUGGAAUGCGCAGAUAUCAGGAGGAAUACCGGUGGCGAAGGCGGGUCUCUGGGCUGUUACUGACACUGAGGAGCGAAAGCAUGGGGAGCGAACAGG
rnacentral:rRNA from 1 species